rnacentral:rRNA from 1 species
GAUGAACGCUAGCGGCAGGCCUAACACAUGCAAGUCGAGGGGCAGCACAGAAACAGCAAUGUUUUGGUGGCGACCGGCGGACAGGUUCGUAACGCGUAUGCAACCUACCUUUAACAGGGGGAUAACGGAGAGAAAUUUCCACUAAUACCCCAUAACAUCGAUCAAGGCAUCUUGAUUGGUUGAAAACUCCGGUGGUUAAAGAUGGGCAUGCGUUGUAUUAGGUAGUUGGUGAGGUAAUGGCUCACCAAGCCUACGAUACAUAGGGGGACUGCGAGGUUAGCCCCCCACACUGGAACUGAGACACGGACCAGACUCCUACGGGAGGCAGCAGUGAGGAAUAUUGGUCAAUGUGGGCAACCCUGAACCAGCCAUGCCGCGUGCAGGAAGACGGCUCUAUGAGUUGUAAACUGCUUUUAAACAGGGAUGAAGCACAGUAUGUAUACUGUGUUGAAGGUACUGUAAGAAUAAGGAUCGGCUAACUCCGUGCCAGCCGCCGCGGUAA